rnacentral:rRNA from 1 species
AGUGAACGCUGGCGGUAUGCCUAACACAUGCAAGUCGAACGGCAGCACAGUAAGAGCUUGCUCUUACGGGUGGCGAGUGGCGGACGGGUGAGGAAUACAUCGGAAUCUACUUUUUCGUGGGGGAUAACGUAGGGAAACUUACGCUAAUACCGCAUACGACCUACGGGUGAAAGCAGGGGAUCUUCGGACCUUGCGCGAUUGAAUGAGCCGAUGUCGGAUUAGCUAGUUGGCGGGGUAAAGGCCCACCAAGGCGACGAUCCGUAGCUGGUCUGAGAGGAUGAUCAGCCACACUGGAACUGAGACACGGUCCAGACUCCUACGGGAGGCAGCAGUGGGGAAUAUUGGACAAUGGGCGCAAGCCUGAUCCAGCCAUACCGCGUGGGUGAAGAAGGACUUCGGGUUGUAAAGCCCUUUUGUUGGGAAAGAAAAGCAGCAGGUUAAUACCCCGCUGUUCUGACGGUACCCAAAGAAUAAGCACCGGCUAACUUCGUG